rnacentral:sRNA from 1 species
UCUCGUUACUUCGUUUCCUCCCAAGACUUGGGCCUCACUUCGGUGAGGCCCUUUUUUUGUUUGUCG